rnacentral:tRNA from 1 species
UGGCUCAGUUGGUAGAGCAUGGUGUUUGCAACGCCAGGGCUGUGAGUUCGAUUCCCAC